rnacentral:rRNA from 1 species
CGCGUAGGUGGUAGUGAAAGUCUAUGGUGGAAUCUUAGGGCUUAACCCUAAAACUGCCUUGGAAACUUCAUUACUUGAGUCAGUGAGGGGAGGGUAGAAUUCCUGGUGUAGCGGUGAAAUGCGUAGAUAUCAGGAGGAAGCCGGUGGCGAAGGCGGCCCUCUGGCGCUGAACUGACGCUGAGGCGCGAAAGCGUGGGUAGCAAAACAGGAUUAGAUACCCUGGUAGUCCACGCCCUAAACGGUGGGUACUAGGUGUAGGGCUCGUAAGGGUUCUGUGCCGAAGGGAACCAUUAAGUACCCCCGCCUGGGGAGUACGGCCGCAAGGUUGAA